rnacentral:rRNA from 1 species
UACGGGGGGGGCAAGCGUUGUUCGGAAUUACUGGGCGUAAAGGGCUCGUAGGCGGCCAACUAAGUCAGACGUGAAAUCCCUCGGCUUAACCGGGGAACUGCGUCUGAUACUGGUUGGCUUGAAUCCGGGAGAGGGAUGUGGAAUUCCAGGUGUAGCGGUGAAAUGCGUAGAUAUCUGGAGGAACACCGGUGGCGAAGGCGACUACCUGGCCCAUUCUUGACGCUGAGGCGCGAAAGCUAGGGGAGCGAACGGG